CAGUAAUAAAACGCGCGUCAGCCGAUUUGGUUAAAUUUUUAUUAUUAUAAUACUCGUAAUUUAUGGUCGUUCGCUCUUAUGUCUGCAUACAUAUAUGUGUGGGUGAAUAAAUGUUUGGAAUUUGAAUUGCAAAGCAAAAAUCAAAGAAAAUGUAAAAAGUAAACAAAUUGGGAAAACAGAUAAACAAAUAAUGUGCAAAGCUAAGCAGUUCGGCUGCCAUUAAAUUAAAUUGGGCUUGCGUUUCGCUGUUUGUAAUAAAUAUUAAAAUAUUCGUGUCUGGAAAAUUUGUAUCGAUAAUAUUAACUUGUGUUCUAAAAAUCUUUGAAUAUACAUAGAAAAUUAAUUUUGCAUAAGUGUGAAUUUUUUGGAAAUUGCGAAAAGGCAAAUUCAAAAUUUUGUGAAAAUCAUCUCAAUUGUGUUUUGUGUAUAACAGCGGAAAAGCCGCAUUGGAGAUUGUGUGCUUAUUGCGUUAUUGGAGGGAAGCUAGUGGGAGGCUUGUCGGUUGCCUUGUUGACGAGAAUGUCCUUCAAGAAUUUUGCGCAAAUGUCAAGUAAUAUGUUGGGUAUAGUGUAGAAACGAUUAUAACUUGCAAAAAUAUCGGAUAAAAGUAGUUUCAAAGCAAAAAAGAAAGCGCGUUUUGGACGUGGUGGGGGUGCCGGUGGCGGUUCCCACAGGAUUACCAGCGAUUACUCAUCGUGCUCGUGAAAUUGGAAAACAAUAAAAGUAACAACAAAGUGGACCGAUUGUCUUCAACAAUCGACCCCUUCCAAGUGCCGAAACACGAACGCACACACAUGUUUGUUUGUGUGCGUGUUGUAUGUUAAAAAAACCGGCGUGCUAUACAAAAAUAGAGCUAUUUGCAAUUUAAAAAUAACUUAUUAAAAAUAAAAGUAAAGGAAAAUUCAUCACGCUGACUACAGCGUAGGCUGCAAACAAACAAAAAAGGAAGCAAAUCGUUCGAGGCCGUGCUGUCAUUCGCAACAUACACAUAUUUAGUGCCACAAAGUUUGCCAAUCAUCUGUGUGCUUCCUUUCAACUUGAAUUCCAUCGGCCAACAACCGACCGACCAAGCAUUUGAGCAGCGUCUUCCAACGCUGUCAUUGUGCGUCAAUUUUUUUAUAACUUGUUUUGGUAUAAAUUCUUAUUGAAUUGCAUUCCUCUCCGUGCUGCUUCGUUUAGUUGGCCUUCGCUGUUGAUUUGUGGCCAAGAUGAGCGAACGUAAAUUCACACGCGGCCUAAACAACAACAAAGCCGGCAUGGCGGCCCAUCUUCGCGAAUCCGUCUCGCAGGUUGUGCGGCAGAGCACGGCAUUGAUGCAAUAUCCUGUACUGAGCAGCCGUAAUAUGAAUAAACCGCAUGUGGUGGAGCCUAUCGACUUUGAAGGUUUCGUGGCGAAGAAUAAAAUGCUUAUACAAAAUGAUCCGCAAAGAGAAUUGUUGAUGUAUCCCAACGACGAUGUCUCGGAAAUCGUUAUGCCUCGUAAACAACGCACAAAUACCAAAUCAAUCAUCGAUCGUUUCGAACCGCCAAAUGAAGCAAUCAUAUGCCCCUUGCAUGGUGGUACAAAUUCCGCAAGUAACGGCUCCAGUAGCACUUCAAUUUCACGCCAGAACAGUCACACAAACAGCCCCAAAACAACCCAUCGCCAAAUCAGCAGUCAAUCCAACACAAGUCUACAAAAUGGAAAUCUAUCGAGAAAAAGUUCGCAGAGUUCGUCUAAUAAAAUACAGUUAUCCAUUAAAUCACCAACUUCCUCACACGAUUCAUAUGAAUCGGCAAUAUCGACUAUGGGCUCGAUUAGCGCCAACAUAAAUUCCACCUCGCAUUCGUCCUCGUCCUCGACGCUAAAGUCGAAUAUACUUGCACAACCGGAGGAAGAUGAGGAUUUGGAUGGCUCGGACGGCGCUGAUGGCAUGAGCAGCAGUGGAAGUGGUGGAGGCACACGCGCCGAAUGUACGCGCUUCACACGUCAAGCGUUGUAUACAUAUCGCGCAAAGAAUCAUCUCAUACACUACAAGUAUAGCGCUUAUGGUGGGACAUGUCAUGAUUUGCCAAGAAUAAAUCCACCCGAAGCUCUGAUAGAGGAGGUGUACGAGAUUGAUGCCGAUCAGGAUCGCAUUGACGAACAAAUGACAAGAUCUCAAGCCGAUUCUAUAACGAAGCAGGGUUACUUGCUGAAGGGUCCGGACUCAGGUUCGGAUCGUAUGUUUGUGAAUAUAGGCAACAAGUCAUUUAAAAGGAGAUAUUGUUAUCUCCGUCAAGAGGUCGAUGGCACUUACAUUCUUGAAUUGCACAAAGAUGAAAAACAAGGUGAGGCUAAAGCCACUAUAGUCAUGGAUUUUUGCACAGAAGUUGUGCAGAACCCCAAACGCGGUCGUUUUUGCUUUGAGCUCCGCAUGACCGCUGGCCAUAAGUCGUUCACCCUUGCCGCCGAAAAUGACGAAGAAUUCAAGGAUUGGCUGAGCAAGCUGUCGCUCGUAUUGCAGCAGAACAAGAUUCAAGAAGAUAAACGGGUCGCUUCGCUCGAACGCACACCACCGCCCAGCACCAAUGCUGUUAUUUUUGGUACCCUAAAAGGUCUCGAUCAGUCCAUGAACCCCCAAUUGAUUAAGUAUGGUCGUGAAACUGACAUUUCCAUUGCGCAAGCGCGUCGCGAGCAUCGCCGGCGCCUCUUUGCUUGCUAUCAAUCAACAGGCAAAGCGACUAUCACCGACACCGUCGACCAGUUUCGCGAGCAAUUCGGCAAACGUAUCUUUAUAGCCUGUAAAGGCCUACGCUUCCGACUGCAAUGUGCCGGUACAGAUGGGCUCGACGGCGAGAAUUUAUGCCAAGUGGAACCAUAUAUCACCAGCCUGGCGUUAUAUGAUGCGCGCGCCGGUCGAAAACUAACCGAAUCCUUCUAUUUCAAUGUGAAUGAUGAGUAUGUAAGUGAUAUGUUGCCAACAACGCCAGUGCCCAAUUCUGUGGCGGCUUGUUGCGUGUCACAGCGCCGUGGUGACGAGAAGGAGGAUAGGGCGCGCGGCGGUGGUGGUGGUAACAGUGAAGUGCGUGUGCAGAACUCGCUACUAGAGAAUUUAUCUGGUGACUUAUUGCGUUGCACCAAAGAGCAUUUUGCACACUUGCGACAGGCUGUAUUCUCAGUGACAGCACCGCAUCCGGAUAUAUACUUAGUGCUGAAGGUGGAGAAGAUAUUGCAAGGUAGUAUAGUGCAGGCGGCCGAGCCUUAUUUGAAGACUGGACGCGAUCCAAAGAUCGCCUUGAAACUACACAAAACGGCGCGUAAUUAUGCGCAAAAUAUAGGACACUAUCGACAGCCAUUCGCUUGGGCAGCUAAGCCGCUCUUUCGGCUGUAUAGAAAUGAAUUGGAUACGGAGAAUGAUACGUUUGAAUUGACGACCAUUUACAGGCAAGAGGCAAACAAACUGAAGGAUGAGGAGCUGUUGAAAUUGUUGGCGGAAUUUCGAAAGCCAGAUAAGCUGAGUAAACUGACUAUUAUACCAGGUUAUAUGAAGCUGACCGUUGAGGAAGUGGAAAGGGUGCCAGGUUCCUUUACUAAGUCUUUAGUGCCGCUAGCUAACUUCACAUUUCCACCCAAACCGCCCACGCUCGAGCUGACCGAAUUCCAAAGCAAUAGCACGCGCGACACAUAUCCCUAUAUCACAUUCUGCAAUCAUUUAUUUGUCUAUCCGCAGUAUUUGCAAUUCGAUAGUCAGAAAUUGUUUUCGCGCGCACGCAAUAUUACCGUUGUGGUGGAGCUGCGUGAUUCAGAUGAGGAGGGCAGCAAGCCGUUGAAGUGCAUUUACGGUCGUCCUGGUCAUGAUUUCCUAGUCUCGCAAAUCGCAUGUCCCGUGCUGCAUCACAACACCACACCCACUUGGUAUGAGGAAGUGAAAAUGCGUCUGCCUUUAGGUCUCUUCCACGAGCACCAUUUGCUCUUCUCUUUUUAUCACGUGUCGUGUAACUUGGGCAAGAAACGCGAUGCCAGCGCAACAUUCGAAACACCUAUUGGUUAUGCUUGGUUGCCGCUGCUGCAGAAAGGUCGCAUAAAUUUGGAGGAGCAGGUCAUAUCGGUUGCGGCUACACUGCCGGCGGGCUAUUUGUCGAUACAGCCCUUGGGCCUGGGCAAAGGGCAGAAUUGCGGUCCCGACAUACAAUGGAUCGACAAUCAGCGCCCACUUUUCGGCGUCGCCUACCGCAUGGACUCCACUGUUCUGACUGCCGAUCAGCAUUUACACAACUUUUUUGCACAUUGUGAGCGUCUUUUGGAGGGUGGCAAAACCAUUGCAUUACCCGCUGAAUCGGAGACUUGCAAGAUCCUCAAAGCUGCGCACGCGAUCGAUAUUAGCACCCUGAUCAAUUUUCUGCCAACCGUGCUGAAUGAACUAUUUACGCUACUCGUACAUACCCAGUCCGAAGAGAUCGGUUUGAAUAUUAUACGCCUUCUGAUCAAUAUGAUACACAUGCUGAUCGAGGAGGCUGGACGCAAAGAGCUACUCAGCGCCUAUGUUAAGUACGUCUUUCAUGCGCCCUACUACAGCCAGAAGAUAUCGCGUACGGUGCACGGCGAGUUGUGCAAGCAUUUGCCAACUAUUUUGCAUCCGAACAAUACCGAUUUUCUAAUCGUUAAUAAAUUUAUGCAUUACUCGGCUAUUUUCUUUGAUCUGAUCAUCAAAAGCAUGGCGCAACAUCUCCUGGAUACUGGCCGUAUUCGUAUGCUGCGCAAUGAGCGUUUUCCUAAAGAAUAUCCCGCACGUGUGGAGAAUUUGAUUAAGGUGCUUACACCAUAUUUGAUUUCCCGUUACAAAGAUCUACCCGUCGAGACGCAGCAAUUGAAUAGAUCGCUAUCGCAAUUUGUGAGGCGCUGUCUCAGCUAUAUGGAUCGUGGUUUCGUCUUCAAGUUAAUUAAGUAUUACAUGGAGCAAUUUGAGCCUGGCGACCAGCGUACACUACAAGAGUUCAAAUUGGAUUUCUUGGCAGAGAUUUGCCAGCACGAGCAUUAUGUGCCGCUGAAUUUGCCGUUUGUGCUGAAUCCGAAAAAUCGUCCACCAGAAAUGAUGCUACAUUUUACGCUCUCCGAGGAAUUCCGUCGUCAGCAUUUUCUUGCCGGUCUGCUGCUGCAAGAACUGAAACGCAGCUUGAAUGAGGCUAGCUCAGUGCGACGUCAUGCGUUGCGUAUCUUUAAGAAUCUGCUUGCGAAGCAUGAGCUCGACGAUCGUUACCAGAAUCGUGGCCAGCUUUCGCGCAUCGCACUGCUCUAUGUGCCUUGGUUGGGCAUCGUGAUGGAGAACACGCACCGCAUCGAUGAUAUGUCAGGCGUGGCCACGCCCAAUGGUCACGUAUACGCCGAUUCAGCUUCUUAUACACAGCGCUUGUCCUGCUCUAGCAGUUAUGUGUUUGGUAAAGACACUACCGUAACUUCGUCCACGUCUACGCCGCGUUCGAAAAACCGUAUGACCCUCCACAUCGAGCAUCCUAGUCCCUUGCGCUCUUCGGUAUACGUCAGGGAUGCCCCCCACGGUGGCACCGCUCCGCUGGCCAAUAGCAACUCGGAAACCUCAUUGAACACGCUCAAUUCAGACUCACAAAAUUCACAGGACACGCCUACUUUAGGCGUCAUUGCAAAUGGUCACCAUGUCACCGACUUGUCCGAGGUGGCCAUGCGUAACAACCAAAAUCGCUCGAUUAAUGUUAUGCAGGGCUUGAAUAGCUUGCCGCGCUGCGACAAGUUCAAUACGGCUGAAAGUAAGGAUCUGCUGCUGGGUUUUCUUUUCGUUGUCAAACAUUUAGCGCAAGAUCAAAUGAUAGGCUGGUGGCAGAACUGCACCGAAACAGAAACCCUCGCCUAUCUCAGCAUACUCGAUCUCUGUUUGGUGCAAUUUCGCUAUGUUGGCAAGAAGCAUAUCAGUUUGUCGGAUGACAGCAAGGAAGCGCGUUCGGCGCGCACUGCCAAGGCCAGCACUUUGCCUGCUCGCAUGCAGCCGCCGAAUGUGGAGCAAACGACCAAUGGUAACGGCACGACGCAUGAGACUGGUACACUGACGCUCACACAAAAUCGCGAAAACCUCGUCGAAGAGACGGCGCGUAGUCAACAGGCACUGUACGAUUCGAAUCUGGCUACCGAAAUCGGCAUGAUCAUACUCGAUAGUCUAGGCUUGUAUGCGGUACAUUUUCGUGACAAACUAUGCGAUAGUCUUGUGCUGCCACAGUUGGCGCGUGUCUAUCUGCGUUUCCUACAGCUCGGUCAGUCAGAGAGACUCUCCAAGCAUGUUUUUGCCGCCUUGCGCGCUUUCAUCAAUAAUUUUUCACCCGCACUCUUUAAAGGUAACGCUACCCUUUGCGGUCAAAUGGUUUAUGAGCUGCUGAAAGGCUGCGACAGUCGUCUUGUCGCCAUACGCCAUGAGUCCUGUGCCGUGCUUUACUUGUUGAUGCGCAGUAAUUUCGAAUAUACCGGCCGCAAAGGUCUUACGCGUGUGCACCUCCAAGUUAUCAUCUCCGUUUCACAGAUGAUCGGCAAUGUGAUCGGUUUAAAUAAUGCACGUUUUCAGGAGAGUCUAUCGAUGAUUAACAGUUAUGCUAACAGCGACAAAGCGAUGAAGGGCACUGGCUUUCCAGUGGAGGUGAAAGAUCUCACGCGCCGUGUACGCACCGUGCUCAUGGCAACUGCACAAAUGCAGGCGCAUCACAUGGACCCCGAACGGCUACUCGAGCUGCAGUAUUCGUUAGCGAACUCCUACGCUUCUACGCCAGAGUUGCGUCACACAUGGCUCAUCACCAUGGCACGCAAUCAUGAACAGAAUGGCAACAUAUCGGAGGCGGCAUGCUGUCACUUGCACAUAGCAGCGCUUAUGUCGGAGUAUUUACGCUUGCGUGGUGGCUGUAAUAUUAAUUGGGGCGCUUCAGCAUUCACGAAAAUAUCUCGUAAUAUACCACGCGACGAGCAAGGUUUGAAAUUGGAUGCUGGCGCACAGGAUUCGCAAUACACCGAACAGAUGCUGUUGGAUCAGCUGAAGCAAUGCGCCGAUUUUCUCGAUCGCGGCGAACGUUUCGAGUGCUUGGGUGAUCUUUAUAAACUCAUUCUGCCGAUGUAUGAGCGUAGUCGGUCGUACAUUGAGUUGGCGCAAUCGUACGAACAUCUAAUGCAGGCGUACAACAAAAUCGUCGAGGUGAAUCGUUCGGGCAAACGCAUGCUGGGCCGUUUUUAUCGCGUGGUGUUCUUCGGAAUGGUGUAUUUUGAGGAUGAUCACGCGGUGGAAUAUGUUUACAAGGAGCCAAAACUGACCUCUCUAAGCGAGAUAUCAGAACGUCUAUCGAAACAAUACAAGGAAAAAUUCGGCGCUGAUGUUGUCAAGAUGAUAAUGGACUCAUCACCGGUGGAUCCCAAUGCGCUCGAUCCCAAGUUGGCUUAUAUUCAAGUAACCCAUGUCAUACCAUUCUUCAGCAAGGAAGAACUGGAUCAUCGUUUGAACGAGUUCGAACAAAAUCACGAUGUUGACACUUUCAUGUACGAAACGCCAUUCACAAAAUCGGGUGCUGCGCGCGGAAGUGUUGAGGAACAAUGGAAACGCAAAACGGUCAUCAAAACCACUUACUCAUUUCCGUAUGUCCUAAAACGCAUACCGGUGAAAUCACGUGAAAUAAUAGAGCUAAGUCCCAUCGAAGUGGCAAUUGAUGAGAUGCAAACCAAGGUUUCAGAGCUGGAAGAGGUCAUCCUACCACCAGCCGAUGUUAAAAAGUUGCAAUUGCGAUUGCAAGGUAGUGUAGCGGUAACUGUGAAUGCAGGUCCUCUAGCCUAUGCGCAAGCAUUUUUGGAUCCUAAAAUAGUGGGUAAUUUCUCUAUUGAUCGCGUAGAGGAUUUGAAGGAUAUUUUCAGAGACUUUGUUAAAGUUUGCAAUACGGCACUCCAGCUAAAUGCGCGCAUGAUCAGCAACGAUCAAGUCGAGUAUCACAACGCGCUUACCGAAAACUAUCGCAAACUCUGCCAGGCACUUAGCGAGCUACUCGGUGAGCCGUUUCAGCCGUUGGACGACUGCGUCACAAGCGGGCAACGCAAUAGCAUGGCUUUGUUUAAUGCAAUCAGUGGCGCUUCGCAAAAUUCAAGUACUGCCUAAACUACUAAUUAUAAAACAAGCAAAAACCAACAAAAAAUUAAAUCCAGCAAUGCACACAUUCGCACACACACACAUACACAUACCCAAUACAAAUGAUGUGAAUUAGUAAAUUAUAGAAAAAAAAACAAAAAGCAUAGCUACUUGACUAGGAUUUCGAUUUUAAGUGACUAACUACCAUUAAUCAAAAACAAACCAAAAAUAAUAAUAACAACUAAAAAUAAAUGAAAAUUUUGUGUGGUGACUACUUAUGCGACAAAAUGCUUUUGCGUGACUUUAUGACACUCGUUUAUGUGAUUGGUGGGUGGUUGGCAUUUCACAUUUCCCCACAAGCGAUGAUUGAUUGAUUGAUUUGGUGUAUGAGGUGUUUAACGAAAUGCUUUGGUGCGCUGAUGAUUAUUUUAUGGGCUUUGGAAACGUCGGUUAAUGGUUUUGGUUACGCAGUUUAUUAAGUAAUAACAACCACAACAACACAGCCACAAAACCAAAAAUCUAAAACUCAAAAAAUCACAUUCACCUAUACAUUUACACGAACAAAACCAAUUCGAUUGGCACGAAACUGAAAGAACAACAAAAUAAUUUUUAAUACUUAUUACUUGCUUACAUACAUAUGUGAGCCUAACAUUACAGACACUUAUCAUAAGAAUAAAGAAUAGAAAAUAUCAAAAAUUACCAAAAAAAAAAAUCAUAUACAUAUGUACUCGAAUAAUGUAUGUAUCUAUGUAUGUAUGUAUUGGUGAUCGAACUUGUUUUCUAAUUAGAACGCAUUGAAGGGCAAGAAAACAAAUUAAUAACUAAUAGUUGGCAGUCAUCUACUAUACACAUACAUAUUUACACAAAAUACUUGGUUCAAAGGCAACAACAAAUGCAACAACAACAUGCUUCGGAAAUACUGUGUAGUAGUUUAAGAAUUUUAUAAUUCUAAGAAUU